rnacentral:rRNA from 1 species
UAGGGAAUCUUCGGCAAUGGACGGAAGUCUGACCGAGCAACGCCGCGUGAGUGAAGAAGGUUUUCGGAUCGUAAAGCUCUGUUGUAAGAGAAGAACGAGUGUGAGAGUGGAAAGUUCACACUGUGACGGUAUCUUACCAGAAAGGGACGGCUAACUACGUGCCAGCAGCCGCGGUAAUACGUAGGUCCCGAGCGUUGUCCGGAUUUAUUGGGCGUAAAGCGAGCGCAGGCGGUUAGAUAAGUCUGAAGUUAAAGGCUGUGGCUUAACCAUAGUAGGCUUUGGAAACUGUUUAACCUGAGUGCAAGAGGGGAGAGUGGAAUUCCAUGUGUAGCGGUGAAAUGCGUAGAUAUAUGGAGGAGCACCGGUGGCGAAAGCGGCUCUCUGGCUUGUAACUGACGCUGAGGCUCGAAAGCGUGGGGAGCAAACAGGAUUAGAUACCCUGGUAGUCCACGCUGUAAACGAUGAGUGCUAGGUGUUAGACCCUUUCCGGGGUUUAGUGCCGUAGCUAACGCAUUAAGCACUCCGCCUGGGGAGUACGACCGCAAGGUU